rnacentral:rRNA from 1 species
ACCUGUCCCAGUUCGGACUGGAGUCUGCAACCCGACUCCACGAAGUUGGAUUCGCUAGUAAUCGCGCAUCAGCCAUGGCGCGGUGAAUACGUUCCCGGGCCUUGUACACACCGCCCGUCACACCAUGGGAGUCGGAAAUGCCCGAAGUCUGUGACCCAACCGCAAGGAGGGAGCAGCCGAAGGCAGGUCGGAUGACUGGGUNAAGUCGUAACAAGGUAUC